rnacentral:rRNA from 1 species
CCUACGGGUGGCAGCAGUGAGGAAUAUUGGUCAAUGGCCGGAAGGCUGAACCAGCCAAGCCGCGUGAAGGACGAAGGUGCCAAGCAUUGUAAACUUCUUUUGUCAAGGGACAAAAUCAGGCUCGAGAGCCUGACCGAGGGUACUUGAAGUAAAAGCAUCGGCUAACUCCGUGCCAGCACCCGCGGUAAUACGGAGGAUUCGAGCGUUAUCCGGAUUGAUUGUGUUUAAAGGGUGCGUAGUCGGACUGUUAAGUCAGCGGUAAACGCCCGGGGCUCAACCCCGGCGAGCCGUUGAAACUGGCUGUCUUGAGAUGUCAAGAGGUAUGCGGAAUGCGCAGUGUAGCGGUGAAAUGCUUAGAUAUUGCGCAGAACUCCGAUUGCGAAGGCAGCACACCGGCGGCGAUCUGACGCUGAGGCACGAAAGCGUGGGUAUCGAACAGGAUUAGAUACCCCUGUAGUC